rnacentral:rRNA from 1 species
UGACUGUACCCGAGAAGGAAGCUCCGGCUAACUACGUGCCAGCAGCCGCGGUAAUACGUAGGGAGCGAGCGUUAUCCGGAAUUACUGGGUGUAAAGGGAGUGUAGGCGGGACUGUAAGUCAGAUGUGAAAUAUACCGGCUCAACUGGUAGACUGCAUUUGAAACUGUAGUUCUUGAGUGCUGGAGAGGCUAACGGAAUUCCUAGUGUAGCGGUGAAAUGCGUAGAUAUUAGGAGGAACACCAGUGGCGAAGGCGGUUAGCUGGACAGUAACUGACGCUGAGGCGCGAAAGCGUGGGUAGCAAACAGGAUUAGAUACCCUG